rnacentral:rRNA from 1 species
UGGGGAAUUUUGGACAAUGGGCGCAAGCCUGAUCCAGCCAUGCCGCGUGUCUGAAGAAGGCCUUCGGGUUGUAAAGGACUUUUGUCAGGGAAGAAAAGGCUGUUGCUAAUAUCGACAGCUGAUGACGGUACCUGAAGAAUAAGCACCGGCUAACUACGUGCCAGCAGCCGCGGUAAUACGUAGGGUGCGAGCGUUAAUCGGAAUUACUGGGCGUAAAGCGAGCGCAGACGGUUACUUAAGCAGGAUGUGAAAUCCCCGGGCUCAACCUGGGAACUGCGUUCUGAACUGGGUAGCUAGAGUAUGUCAGAGGGGGGUAGAAUUCCACGUGUAGCAGUGAAAUGCGUAGAGAUGUGGAGGAAUACCGAUGGCGAAGGCAGCCCCCUGGGAUAAUACUGACGUUCAUGCUCGAAAGCGUGGGUAGCAAACAGGAUUAGAUACCCUGGUAGUCCACGCCCUAAACGAUGUCGAUUAGCUGUUGGGCAACUUGAUUGCUUAGUAGCGUAGCUNACGCGUGAAAUCGACCGCCUGGGGAGUACGGUCGCAAGAUUA